rnacentral:rRNA from 1 species
UGGGCUUGACAUGUCCGGAAUCCUGCAGAGAUGCGGGAGUGCCCUUCGGGGGAUCGGAACAC